CCCACGCCUGACCUCAGCGGUGACUUCGACGUCGACCAGCCUCCCAUCGCGCAAACGCCCCAUGCCUCCCCCGCCUGCUCAGUGCCCAGGAGCUCGGCCGAUGAUGCCACAAACGCCGACAAGUAUAGCGCGCCAUGCGCCGCGGCCGUGCCCUUGAUCUCCUCGAUCUUGUCGCGCGUUAGCACGAAGGACGCGAUCAGCAGAGACGGAGGUGGAGGCCCCUUCGCUGUCACUACGCCGACGCCUCGAAGAUCGGCAUGGUGUUGGCCGGCUUUAGGUCGGCGCAGGAGAUCCUAUCGGCGGCAAGCGGCGCGCGCGCCGGUAACAUAGCAGCCUGGUCCGAGUAGUGGCGUAGGCGGGUGAGCGCGUUCUUGUGAGGAGUGGAUCGCUGAAGAACAACCUGCUCCGUUCUUCAAUCGCGUCCUGGUAAAGGAAUCGAUCGCCGGAGAACGAAGUGCUCUAUUCUUCAAUCUUGUACCCAAUUCUGAAGUUUGAUUUCUGCAAUCUUGUACGUAAUUCUGAAGUUUGCUUUUCUCCUGCAAUCUUCCCCAUGAAUCGCUCACUGGAAUUGAUGGAAUCGGGAACAUCAUAUUGCUUUCAAGUUGAUCAACCUCUGCCCUUUAUUCAUGGAAGAAGCAGCCGAGUGAGGACGACCUGCUCUCUUCUCUAUCUGAGGUAUAUUUUUCCGGUUUGGUACCUCAUGUUGGCAUGGAAUUUAAAAAUUCAGAUGAAGCUUGGGCAUUUUGGGGUCAGGAAAAGGUGCACGAACAAGAGAUCCGCCGAUGGCAAGGUUACUUCAUGCCAAUUUAUUUGUGCAAGGAAAUGCAAUGCUUAAUCUCUUUUGCCAAACAAAAUUCAGUUAUCCUUAUCAAGUCUGAAAUGUA